rnacentral:misc_RNA from 1 species
AAGUCGUAACAAGGUUUCCGUAGGUGAACCUGCGGAAGGAUCAUUAGAAGUGCCCUCGUGGCGAACCCGAUGCGUCUUUUCUGGUGCGGACGGCUGAGGUAAUCGGCUUGUCUCCAUCUGCUGGGUGAUUCCGGGAGAUGGUGCCAGAAGACACCGAACUGUUGUUAUUAAGUAGUUUUUUUGUAAAAGUUUCACAACUUUCAACGAUGGAUCUCUUGGUUUCU